CGAGACUUAAGAAGAUGGACGGUGUCGGUAGUGCUAAUAACAAGCAGCAGAAACCGAACCAAAUGCUGCUAAAUAAAACUAGAAGAGAAUUUACUAGAAACAUGAGGAAAUAUUCAGAGGGUUUAUCAGAAGCUCCUGAUCUGGAGUUUGAAUAUUCAGAUGCUAAUAAAAGGACCUCUGAACUCUCAGAGUAACUCAUGUCUUUGGCAUCCGUGGUCCAUUUUGCGAUCCUGGGUCAGUGUGGGUUACAAUACUGCAUUCAAGGU